GGGAUGCGUUCCAUUAGGCAGUUGGUGGGGUAACGGCCCACCAAACCUUCGAUGGAUAGGGGUUCUGAGAGGAAGGUCCCCCACAUUGGAACUGAGACACGGUCCAAACUCCUACGGGAGGCAGCAGUGAGGAAUAUUGGUCAAUGGACGAGAGUCUGAACCAGCCAAGUAGCGUGAAGGAUGACUGCCCUAUGGGUUGUAAACUUCUUUUAUAUGGGAAUAAAGUGGUCCACGUGUGGAUUUUUGUAUGUACCAUAUGAAUAAGGAUCGGCUAACUCCGUGCCAGCAGCCGCGGUAAUACGGAGGAUCCGAGCGUUAUCCGGAUUUAUUGGGUUUAAAGGGAGCGUAGGUGGACAGUUAAGUCAGUUGUGAAAGUUUGCGGCUCAACCGUAAAAUUGCAGUUGAUACUGGCUGUCUUGAGUACAGUAGAGGUGGGCGGAAUUCGUGGUGUAGCGGUGAAAUGCUUAGAUAUCACGAAGAACUCCGAUUGCGAAGGCAGCUCACUGGACUGCAACUGACACUGAUGCUCGAAAGUGUGGGUAUCAAACAGGAUUAGAUACCCUGGUAGUCCACACAGUAAACGAUGAAUACUCGCUGUUUGCGAUAUACAGUAAGCGGCCAAGCGAAAGCAUUAAGUAUUCCACCUGGGGAGUACGCCGGCAACGGUGAAACUCAAAGGAAUUGACGGGGGCCCGCACAAGCGGAGGAACAUGUGGUUUAAUUCGAUGAUACGCGAGGAACCUUACCCGGGCUUAAAUUGCAUUUGAAUAUAUUGGAAACAGUAUAGCCGUAAGACAAAUGUGAAGGUGCUGCAUGGUUGUCGUCAGCUCGUGCCGUGAGGUGUCGGCUUAAGUGCCAUAACGAGCGCAACCCUUAUCUUCAGUUACUAACAGGUCAUGCUGAGGACUCUGGAGAGACUGCCGUCGUAAGAUGUGAGGAAGGUGGGGAUGACGUCAAAUCA
rnacentral:rRNA from 1 species